UGGGAGGCAGGCACUCUGACCAGAAGGCUAAAACCCAUGAGCUCUGGUAUCUAUGGCCAGAGCAUCUUUUGGUGUUGGGGAUCACAAAAUAACAUC